UCAUAUUAAUUAAAUAAAAUUAGAAGAGAAGAAAAGAUCUAAUCUAUUCAUCAGCAAAAAGUAUAGUAGGAAUAAAGAUAACUAUCCAACCUUUCAUGUGAAAGAGAAUCUAUCACCAAGAUCCCAAUGUAUAGAGAAGAAAAAGAAUUGAAGAAUAAGAAAAUUUUUUCUAUUUUAUACCUUUAAGUGGAUAGAUUAACUCUACAACUGAAGAACGUGGAAUGGUUCCUCUCCUUGUGGCCACGUAAGUGCCUGACCUCUAUGGGUAUCUAUAUAGAGUUGGAGGAUUGAUCUACAAUCAACUAAUUCUCUAGGGUGCUAGCUCUCUUGUGGAAUAUUUGCUUGAUGAAGGAUGUUCUCAAUGCCUUGAGAACAGUAGUAGGACGAUGGCUUCUUCAAGAUCCUUCUUACUGAAAUCUGAAUUUCAGCAAGACAAGGGAGAGGAGAGAGAAGCUCUGGACAUGGAGGAGAGGGAGGAGAGGGGUGGCAGCACUCUUGGGGC
rnacentral:lncRNA from 1 species